rnacentral:lncRNA from 1 species
CUUGACAAAUGAGCCUUAGUAUUUCACAUCAAGUAUUCAUAUACACAUAAUUAGACAUUGACUGUCAACGGAGUGACUCUGGGCACAGUUGCUAACAUUUAGUGUCAUGGUAAACCUACUGAGCAAUGGAUAGGGAGGAGCACCUCAUCCUAGGACUCAAUCACCUUUAACUUAAAAAACCUAAAACAUGAAGUUUAAAAAUGUGAGUAUAAACCCAAUGAAUGAACAUAAGAAGGGAACAAGCAACAUUAAGGAAGGUUUAGAAAUCAUGAUGCACUUAAGUUCAAAAACAAUGCAAUUUAGUUUAUUUCUUAUUAAAAACCCCUUAUUCAGACCCUUGGUUGUUUAGUCACUUGAUGAUGAAGGAUCCAUAAACAACAAAGAAGUUGAUGGGUGAAAACUUAAGUAGGAUUCAAGCAAGUCAAACAUAAUAGAUUGAUUCUCGCCACAGUGAAAAGGCAUUCUCGCUGUAACAAAAUUCUGGCUAGAUAAAAUCUAAGGGGUUUUCACUGCCACAAGGAAAGUCCACUCAUGCCACAUUGUACAUUAAAUCAAGCACAUUGACAAUAAUCAAGUUUUCUCAAUAUUCAAUACAGUCACAUAUUAUUUUCAUAACUUUUUCUAUAGCAUAUAAAAAACAUAGUUAUAGCAUAUAUAUAUACCAGCAUGUAUACAACCACCACCUCACCUAUCUCAUGUGCACUUCGCACCGCACAUAGCCAGAGUCAUCAUGUGCACCCCCACAUCAUGCACAACUAAUGCCAUCAUGUGCUCCCCCCACAUCCCGCACAUGGCACAUAUAUCAUCAUCAUCGUGUUCACCCCCACAUCGCGCACAACUAAUGCCAUCAUGUGCUCCCCCCACAUCACGCACAUGGCAUGUAUCAUCAUCAUCAUGUGCACCUCCACGUCGUGCACAACUAAUGCCAUCAUGUGCUCCCCCCCCCCCCCACUCAGGCACAUAGGCAAUCUCAUCAUCCAUACUCCCUCACAUUGUUAUCACUGGCAUGUGCACUCCUACACCGCACAUGCAUGGUCAUAAUUAUCAACACACAACAUAUAUAUAUAUAUAUAUACCAACAAAAUAAAAUAGCACAUGGAUUUGUCACAGUCACAUUCCAUAACGUAACAAUGUUUCAUCAAGGGCUUGUUCCCAUUCAUAUUUUAAAGAAAAGGCCAAUAAAACAUUUCAUGAAAUUCAUUCAAACACAUACGCUUUAAUCCCAAAACAUUUUAAUGCAAGUUCACUCACCUCAAUAAUGGCAACACACAAAACUAACGUCCACAAGGUCUUAAUCCUGGCAGUCUCGAAAUACCAUUAAAACCUAUAUUUACCAAUAAACCAUAAUGAUCUUAAUCAAGUCAUAAAUUAUAUCUAAUAAUUCUAAUAAAUUUACAUUAGGCAAUCUACCCUCUAACCGAACAUUUAACCUACAUUUCUAGUCUAAUUCUUAAACCCAUCAUAUCAACUAUUCCAACUGUAAAGAUUCUUUACCUUGGUAAGCUUGAAGGCAUGAAGAUCAACAAAAACCUAAUAUUUCCAAGAAAAAUAACUUGAAGAAAUUGGAAAAUAAAAUCUGAAAAUAUAAACAUAAAUUCAAAACUUUCAAAAGUUGGAAAUAUAUACCUUUCAGCCUUAAAAAUGAAGAUUUGAAGCCAAAAAUCCAAGUGUUGUUAAAAGUGAAGUAGAAAUAGAAAAUAAAGGAACGAAAGAGAGAUUUUUCUUUCUCUUUUCUAUGGUUUAGAAGUGCUGAAAAUUGGGGUUAGAAGUUGUAGGUUUGGUGCCCAAGAAGUUUGGAGAAGAAAGGAGUAAGAAAAGCAAAAAAAUGAAAAGAAAACAAGGAAAAUCACAUGAAAAUUUUGAUUUUCAUGGAGGUGGAAUGAAAAUGGCAUGGGAAGGAUGAGGAAGAAGAAGAAAAUAUCUGGUGGGAGAGGGUAAGGAUGG